rnacentral:rRNA from 1 species
UACGAGGGGGGCAAGCGUUGUUCGGAAUUAUUGGGCGUAAAGGGCGCGUAGGUGGCCCGGUCAGUUCGUGGUGAAAGCGCGGGGCUCAACCCUGCGUCGGCCAUGAAUACUGCCGCGGCUGGAGCACUGUAGAGGCAGGCGGAAUUCCGGGUGUAGCGGUGGAAUGCGUAGAGAUCCGGAAGAACACCGGUGGCGAAGGCGGCCUGCUGGG